AUACGUAGGGUGCAAGCGUUAAUCGGAAUUACUGGGCGUAAAGCGUGCGCAGGCGGUUCGGAAAGAAGGAUGUGAAAUCCCAGGGCUCAACCUUGGAACUGCAUUCUUAACUACCGAACUAGAGUAUGUCAGAGGGGGGUAGAAUUCCGCGUGUAGCAGUGAAAUGCGUAGAUAUGCGGAGGAAUACCGAUGGCGAAGGCAGCCCCCUGGGAGAAUACUGACGCUCAUGCACGAAAGCGUGGGUAGCAAACAGGAUUAGAUACCCUGGUAGUCCACGCCCUAAACGAUGUCAACUAGCUGUUGGGCCCUUCGGGGCUUAGUAGCGUAGCUAACGCGUGAAGUUGACCGCCUGGGGAGUACGGUCGCAAGAUUAAAACUUAAAGGAAUUGACGGGG
rnacentral:rRNA from 1 species